GAUUCAUGUUGGGCAGUUGCUAUCCAGGGAGUUUCUCCUUGAAUAGAGGAAAGUCCGAACUCCGCAGAACAAAGUGCCGGGUAAUUCCCGGGGUCUCCUAUAUGGAGACACGGAAAGUGCCGCAGAAAAAAUACCGCCCCGAGCUUGUCUUAGGGUAAGGGUGAAAAGGCAGGGUAAGAGCCUACCGCGCCGAUGGCAACAUCGUCGGUCCCGCGAUGAACGGGAUCCCGCUAUUGCGGGACAUGGCAAACCCCACUUGGUGCAAGGUCAAGCAGAAGGUUUUUCGUAGGGUUUUCCCUCGGACAAGGUUGUUCGCCUUGGACACCUUCGGGUAGACCGCUGGAUCACGGCAGCAAUGACGUGGCGAGAUAAAUAACUGCUAUCCUUUCGUUAAGGCGAUUGGAAACAAAAUUCGGCUUACAGACAUGAAUCAUCU
rnacentral:RNase_P_RNA from 1 species